GUUAGUGGGCUGCCCUACAGUAUUGGGCCUAAAGACCGGCCCAUAGUAUAUAAGCCUUAGGUCUGCCCUAAACCUAGGGUACCCUACAUUUUCAGGGAUCUUGCCUUGCCUUGAACCCAGCAGCCGCCACCCCUCUGCUAGGAUUCCGAUUCUUCGUCUCGAACCAGUCCAUCCCAAGAGCUCGUCUAGUGAUUUCUGCUCCACUUUUGCAAGUCCGCCUUCCAAGUUACUGUGCUCCGAGGUCCCGUGUCGAGGUUCUGUUAACCCUUUUCCAGAUGGGCGAGGUUCACGUGGCCAGCAAGGGAACGAUGAUCCAACAGCUUAGUCACCUGGGCUAGAUCUCGCGCUUCUUUCUUUCAUGUUUUCUUUAGGGCUAUGGCCCCUGUAUUCGUGGUUGUCGGAUUGUAAUCUUUUAGUUAAACAACUAUCCCACCUUCAUUGGCAUCGUGGUAUGCCUAGUUUUGUAGGAGUGAUAUUAAGGACCCCAGGACCGCGUUGUUAUGCUUUUAUCACGUGACGUUUUCUUUAAUUUUACGUA